UAUUUCAUAGUCACAAUCCUCUUUUCUUCUUUUAUUUUUUUAACCGAUUGGUGAAGGUUCAUACGCGGAAAAGCAGAACCAUCAAGAUUUGAAUAAUAAGGCAAAAAGUUGAAAGCUCUUAUUUGCCUGAGUAUAGCCUAAUGCAGACAGUUGAGAUUAAAGUCAAAAUGGAUUGUGAUGGUUGUGAAAGAAGAGUAAAGAACGCUGUUGCCUCCAUGAAAGGUACUCUAUUACAAAGAUUUGUAUUACAUGUAUUAUUUAUUUUGGACUAUGAGGAGGUGGAUUUCUUUAUUGGGAAACAUAUAGCGUGACAAAUUAUUGUUCAUAUAUUAAAUAAUUAUUUUUGAUUAAUGAGAUUCAUAAAUAUAAC